rnacentral:rRNA from 1 species
CAUUGAUAACACCCUACAAUUGUUAUCCGCCCGGGUACUACGAGCAUCAGCUUAAAACCCAAAGGACUUGGCGGUGCUUUAGAUCCACCUAGAGGAGCCUGUUCUAGAACCGAUAACCCCCGUUCAACCUCACCCUUCCUUGUUUUUCCCGCCUAUAUACCACCGUCGUCAGCUUACCCUGUGAAGGCCUUAUAGUAAGCAAAAUUGGCACAACCCAAAACGUCAGGUCGAGGUGUAGCGCAUGGAGGGGGAAGAAAUGGGCUACAUUCCCUAAUACAGUGAAUACGGACGAUGUACUGAAAUACACAUCUGAAGGAGGAUUUAGCAGUAAGCGGAAAAUAGAGCGUUCCGCUGAAAUUGGCCCUGAAGCGCGC